AAGCACAUGAGCAGCUCUCAGUGGCACCAAAGCCAGGCGUGUUCCUCAGGCUGCUGUGAAUCCAAACUGCUGUGCAGUCCUGUUGGGUUUGGGGUAGCUGAUUCCUCCUGUCCUUCCUGCUUUCACUGACACAACGUCCAGGUUUACUUCUUUGUCAGAGGCUGAGAGUUGGGUGGAGAGGAACCCAGUGAGGCUCAACAAGGACAAGUGUAGGGUCCUGCACCUGGGGAGGAACAACCACAGCAUCAGUGCAGGUCAGGGCUGAGCUGUUGGAGAGGAGCUCUGGGGAGAAGGACCUGGGGAUCCUGGUGGACAACAGUGCCCAAGCCUGGUGCUGAGCCCACGGCUGCGUCGUGCGGAGCUGAGGAUCACCAGGUCUGUGUGCAGUGCUUCUGUUCCACUUCAAAAUGAGAC
rnacentral:lncRNA from 1 species